rnacentral:lncRNA from 10 species
UCCUGCUUCACACAUAUGUGCAAAAGCAAGCACACACACAUGUACAUUCACACAUGCGUGUGUUCAUGCCUGGUUACUCUGUGCUAAGAUAGAAUGCGGCCUUUUCCCCUUCUUCCAUCCUCACUCUGCUUUCAGACGGCCUGAAUUCCUCUUCCCUGAGGUCUGCAGCCUCCUGCUCUCAGUAGACAGGCACCAGGUUCUCCAUGAUCCUUUCUACCAGGUCAGCUCUCUACUACCUGGGCUGAAGGAAUGGCAGCCAAGAUGGUCCCCAGAGGGAGGAUCAGCACGCAUGCGUGGCACGCCUGUGCAGAUAUCCCCUUUAAUCUGCAACCAUGAGUGUCUACUAUGGGGUAGCUGCUUAGGUGGACCUUACAGGACCCACAAACAGGCAGAAGCAGCAGCCCCUACUCUCAGGAGGGAAGGAGGCAUUGGUUAGUGGCACUGGUGACACUGUGUCAUUCAGAGCUUCGAUGUGUGUAUGAACCAUCAUGUUUCCCAGGCUGUGGUCCCUUCCUGCCAAGGCCACCUGGCCAGUCCUCUGCCAAGUUUCCCUAAGUAUGUCUGGAGAUUCCCAAAGCGUAUCUCAUAAAGACUCUUAUGUAACAGGAAAGAACAGCUCAUAAACAUGAAUUUAUUCCACUGUUAAAAAAUGUUCUUCUCCCUUGGCUGGAAUCAAGUCCCCUCUCCCUUGACAACCAAGGCUCCCUGUUGUGCCCAGGUGACCCCUCCCCUCUGAGAGCCAACUUUGUCCUGGGCCACCUCCUGGGCCUGCCUCUCUUCCUGAGAGUGACUCCUAUCCAGAGCCUUUUCUGACCCACAGACAGAUGGCCUCCCCAUGUCCUCCUCUAUAGCUCUCUGCACUCCAACCAGGCUGCAUCAUACUAGGGCCCCCACGACAAUGAGGUAACCAUCCCAAUUUAACCCAUAGGGAGCCUGGGCUCUGAGUGACUAUAGGUCUCCCCCUCAGUCACACAGCGAGGCACGGCAGAGGCCGGGAUCCCAGCGCGCCUCUUCCCACCAUGCUCACCUGCCAGCAUCAUCUAUUCACUCAUCAGGCAUCUGUAGGGCAGGGUGGAAGGACGGUUUCUUAACACUGGGGAACUGGAGAGGAUAUGUGAGUUGGGGUGGCAGUAGGCAGUGGAAUAGGACUGGAAUUAAAGAUGUGGAUAAAGGAGUCAUUUGGAGUAGCAGGAAGAGAAAGGGAAGAGGUUAGAGCCUUAGAAUGGCAACUGCAAAACAGAAGACUCUAUUUUGGCCUCGAUUUUCUCAAGUGUGAAGAGUUGCAGGGGUCAAAGCUGGAAUUUGCAAGACUUCAAUCAAUUGCUUCCUCAGGCAACUUACCCUAGCAGCCCUCCCAGCCAGGGAGCAGGAAUGGAGAUAAGAUAAGGACUCCCAGUGGGGUGGGGCGCAAAGUGCUACAGGAGACAAGGCAGGCCAGACUGGCUGCUCAGACGGAUCAUGCCCUGCUGUGGGCAGUCUGGGAAGGCUACCUGGAGGAAUUGGACACAGCACAUUGCUGAACAUCAAUAAAUAUUUGUCUUAAUUGCUUUGAGACACAGUCUGCUGUGUCACUCAGGCUGGAGUUCAGUGGCGCGAUCACGGCUCAUUGCUUCCUUGGACUCCUGGGCUCCCAUGAUCCUCCUACCUCAGCCUCCCAAGUAGCUGGGAUGACAGGAUCACACUUUUUUUUUUUUUUUUUUUUUUUUUUUGAGACACAGUCUUUCUCUGUCGCCCAGGCUGGAGUGCAGUGGCGCGAUCUCGGCUCACUGCAACCUCCACCUCCCGGGUUCAAGCAAUUCUCCUGCCUCAGCCUCCUGAGUAGAUGAGAUUACAGGUGCCUGCCACCACGCCCAGCUAAUUUUUUUGUAUUUUUAGUAGAGACGGGGUUUCACCAUGUUGGUCAGGCUGGUCUCCAACCCCUGACCUUGUGAUCCACCCGCCUCAGCCUCCCAAAGUGCUGGGAUUAUAGGCGUGAGCCACCGCGCCCAGCUCACACCUAUCUAACUUUUUAACUUUUUGUAGAGACAGGGUUUGCCAUGUUGGCCAGGCUGGUCUUGAAUUCCUGGGCUCAAGAGAUCCUCCUGUUUCAGCCUCCCAAAGUGCUGGGAUUACAGGUAUGAUCCACCUCAUCCCUUAAUUGCUUUAAAUGUCCCAGGAGACAUCUAAGGACAAAUUCCCUGAAUACUUGGAUGGAGCUGAUGGCGAAGACACCGAUGCUGCCAUCACUUUGCCCACCUGAGCUCAGGGGAGGCAGCAGUAUCCUCCCAGUGAGAAAGGGGAGAUGUCUGCUCUUGGGCAUGGGGGAAGGUGCAGGAGGCUGCCUGCGCCAGGCAGCAGCAGGAAGAGGGAUGGCGAAAGCACAGAGACUUAGAGGAAGAAACAGGGCCUCAGCAUGAGGGCCUUAAAUGUCUGUCUAAAGCCAGUGACUCUGACUACCUCCCAAGCACAGGCUAUAUGCCUGAUGUUCCGCUAGGACCCUGCAAGCACAUGUCAUCUUUGCUGUUAUCUUUGCUGCGAUAUCCCCAGGGCCCAGAACUGUGGCUGGCAUGGAGUAGGUGCCUGACAAAUAUUUGUUGAGUAUAUUAAUUCAUACUUAAUUCUCACAAUAUCCUUUUGUAAUAUGAUUAUGCCUACUUUGCAGAAAAGAAAAUUAGUAUCAAAAGGCUAAUGCCCCUGACAGUGAGGAGCAGAACCUACCAUGGGUCCUUGACCUAAGUGGCCCAGUUCCAGCCAGGUACCAGACCUCUCAGAGAGCAACCAGGAAGGGAUGGGAGCCAGAAGCAUCUGUGUCCAAUGGCUAGUGAUAGGACAGACAGGACUCAAACCUAGGUCUUUGGAGUCCCAAUCCAGUGCUGCCCUACCCCUUCAUCAUUCAACAGCUGCUUCCUGAGUUCUCCUCCCCUUUGGGGAAAGGGGGUACCCAGAUAUGCUGACCUCCUUGCCCUGGGAAAGUGCCCAAAUCUUUUACUACGGCCACCUUGAGGAAGGUUACCAAACUCCUGCCACAUGCCAUAUCCUGUGAUUCAUUUAUUCGAUAUCCAUCCCUUUAUUCAUUCGAGAAACGUGUUGAAUGCCUACUAUGUGUUAGGCAGCAAUCUAGUUGCUGGGUGCAGUAUUAAACAAAACACAAGAUUUCUGCUCUUGCAGAGUUUAUAUUCCAGGAAACAGAGACAGAAAAGAAGUAAAUAAACAUGAACUUCAGGUACCGAGAGCUGGAGAAGUCAGAGAUUCGAAGCAUCUGAAGAACUCAAUGCACCAUUGCUGGCCUUGAAGAUGGAGGG